UUUGCUUCGUCCGCCGCCUCAACAGUAACAAUAAUAAAAUAAUAAUAAAAAGAAAAGAAGAAGAAGAGAGAGAAAAUAAUUAAAAAAAAAUGUGGGACCCACUGAAUUUUUAUAAAAACUCACCUGUUCCUUCAUUUCUUCAUUCCUUCUUUCGUGCGUGAGCUUCGGCAGAGAGAGCAUCUGUGAGCCAAAUUCACCGGUGCAGGGUUUUAAGGAGAAGAGCCACGAGUGACACGUGGAGGAGUCCCAGAGGCUUAGUGGUAUAGAUCCACUGUCUCUUUUGGGUAUUUAAUUUAUGAUUUAUAAUGUAUUAUAUUGCCAAUAUUAGGGCUUUUUGUUUAUUGUCAAUUAUAUGAAUAUAUAAAUGUAAUCAUGCCUUUCAAACUA